AUCCCAAACUGGGACUGAAGUGCAGUGCUUGUGGUUUCUGAACAGCUUAUGCUAAGUCUGUACCAUGGAAAUAAUCUACUCUUAAAACCCAGGAAACAAAUCAACUAUGUUCUUAACUCAAAGACCAGGAAAGAACCAGGUGCUGCGUAAUCGAUCGACGGGUGUAGGUGCCAGGAACAAUGUAGCUGGGCUUCAAGCUUCUUCGAAGAGCGGAAUGCAAUCACUUCACCAGCAAAGU